rnacentral:rRNA from 1 species
GAACGCUGGCGGCGUGCCUAACACAUGCAAGUCGAGCGAUUCUCUUCGGAGAAGAGCGGCGGACGGGUGAGUAACGCGUGGGUAACCUGCCCUGUACACACGGAUAACAUACCGAAAGGUAUGCUAAUACGAGAUAAUAUGCUUUUAUCGCAUGGUAGAAGUAUCAAAGCUUUUGCGGUACAGGAUGGACCCGCGUCUGAUUAGCUAGUUGGUAAGGUAACGGCUUACCAAGGCGACGAUCAGUAGCCGACCUGAGAGGGUGAUCGGCCACAUUGGAACUGAGACACGGUCCAAACUCCUACGGGAGGCAGCAGUGGGGAAUAUUGCACAAUGGGCGAAAGCCUGAUGCAGCAACGCCGCGUGAGCGAUGAAGGCCUUCGGGUCGUAAAGCUCUGUCCUCAAGGAAGAUAAUGACGGUACUUGAGGAGGAAGCCCCGGCUAACUACGUGCCAGCAGCCGCGGUAAUACGUAGGGGGCUAGCGUUAUCCGGAAUUACUGGGCGUAAAGGGUGCGUAGGUGGUUUCUUAAGUCAGAGGUGAAAGGCUACGGCUCAACCGUAGUAAGCCUUUGAAACUGGGAAACUUGAGUGCAGGAGAGGAGAGUGGAAUUCCUAGUGUAGCGGUGAAAUGCGUAGAUAUUAGGAGGAACACCAGUUGCGAAGGCGGCUCUCUGGACUGUAACUGACACUGAGGCACGAAAGCGUGGGGAGCAAAC